rnacentral:tRNA from 1 species
AGCCCAGAUUUUUCGGACUGCAAAUUCGAUUUAGGGAUUUCCCCUGGGCUU